rnacentral:tRNA from 1 species
GGCUCCAUAGUGUAGUGGUUAGCAUGUCUGCUUUACACGCGGAAGGUCCUGGCUUCGCUCCCCAGGGGAGCCA